CAACAUAGUCAGUAUUCUAUCGGCACGAGGAAGACUCUCAGUUUUUGAACUGUCUGUCAUAUACUGAGGCUAUGAGUAGUUUUAAAGACUUGGGUUCUGGUCAGAUGUGAUGCAAUCUGUCACAUUAUAUCAAGGCAAGGGUAGGAAUAUGAGAAAGAAAUGGAUGUUUCCCCUUUGGUAUGGACCAGUCCAUCUGCUCCCAUAGGUGAGUUAUUGAAAGAGCCUAAGAGCCACUUGUGAUAUUAAAGGCAGCCAUCUUGGAUCUUUGUCACCUAGAAGCUUUGAAUGCAGCUUUGAUAUUCCAUGAUGGCCACUGGUUUAAAGGCAGCAAGAUGACAAUCUCUAUAAUAACACAGAUGGAGACUUGAGCACUUGACCUUGAGCUGACCUUGGGAAAGCAUCUCCAGUGUCCAGUCACCUUGGAGUCUGAAUGAGCAAAUGUCAACAAUUCCCGCUGGGAACAGGAAGUGGGAUAGGUUGUCAUAGUAAUUUGACCACAGACAGAGGAGAGUGAGGACUAUUCAGGAAUUGAUAUGUCCAGACAUAAAGUGUUACGGACCAGUCCUACUGACCACAUAGUGGCUGGACAUUUGACCCUUCUGUAUAUAAAAAGAUAUUGAUAGAUCACAAGAAGUCUUGCAUAGAGACAUAAAUGGAGGGCUAAUGUCUCAAGCUUAUUGGUAACAAGCUCAAAAGUGAUCUGGAUUGUACAGAAGGCAUUUCUUUAAUUCUAAAUUGAAAUUAAUAUUAUUUUACAAGUAUCUGUAUUAUCAAAAUCUCUAUUAAGAAACAAAAUGAUUGUUUUACAAUAAAAGUGAUACAGUGUAAUCAGACUUUAA